CUGAGGUGAUUUUGGCUCCCUGAUGGGAUUUGGGGACACUGUGAGAGAAUUUGGGGACACUGAGGUGAUUUUGGCUCCCUGAGAUUAUUUGGGGUCCCUGAGGGGAUUUGCCGUCUCUGAGGGGAUUUGGGGACGCUGUCACUGAGGGGCUGGGGACACUCACUGUGAGGCACUAGGGACAUUGUCACUGGGAGGAGCCUCUCCGGGGCCGCUCCGGGGCCGGUUCGGGGCCUGUCCGGGCCCAUUCCGGGGCCUGUCCGGGCCCAUUCCGGGGUCGGUUCGGGGCCGCUCCGCUCCCGGCCCCGGGGACUCCAUGGCGGCCCCGCCUCCCCCUCACCGCCGGCAAAGGGCGCGCCCCGCGACGCCGCCCAAUCAGGAGCCAGAACGUCCGUGAUUGACAGGCCGUGCCCUCAGGGAGGGAGCGCCUCCACCAAUCAGAUCGAGGGCGGGAACCAACCCGACCAAUGGGGGCUGCGGGCGGGCCGCGUCGCUGAGGAGAUCAACCAAUCAGGAGUGUCGUGGGCGGGGCCAAGCGGGAGCCGGGCGGUGGCGCGCGUGCGCAGGAGGCUGAGGCGGGCGGUGAAGCGGCGGCGGCGGCGCCGGGCGGAGGCGGCGGCGAUGGAGCCGGGUUACGGCGGAUAUGGCUCCUGGAGCACCGGGGCUGCCGGCGCCCAGGCUUCCUACGGCACGAGCACGAGCAGCAGUGCAAGGUGGGUGUGAGGGGCUCGGGGUCCCCGGCGGUCUGG